rnacentral:rRNA from 1 species
GACGAACGCUGGCGGCGUGCCUAAUACAUGCAAGUCGAACGCAGUGGGGAUGGGUGAGUAACACGUGGGUAACCUCCCAUCAGAGGGGAUAACACUUGGAAACAGGUGCUAAACCGAUACUGAUGGAUGGACCCGCGGUGAAUUAGCUAGUUGGUGUGGUAACGGCUCACCAAGGCACCGAUGCAUAGCGUACCGGAGAGGGUGAUCGGCCACCCUGGCACUGGGACAGGCCCCAGCCUCCUACGGGAGGAAGCGGUGGGAAAUCUUCGGCAAUGGACGAAAGUCGGACCAACCAAGGCCGCGUAAGUGAAGAGGGUUUUGGGAUCGUAAAACUCGUUUGUUAGAGAAGCGGUAUCUGACCAGAAAGCCACGGCUAACUACGUGCCAGCAGCCGCGGUAAUUC